rnacentral:rRNA from 1 species
GACGAACGCUGGCGGCGUGCCUAAUACAUGCAAGUGGGACGCAAGGAAACACACUGUGCUUGCACACCGUGUUUUCUUGAGUCGCGAACGGGUGAGUAACGCGUAGGUAACCUGCCUAUUAGCGGGGGAUAACUAUUGGAAACGAUAGCUAAUACCGCAUAAUAUUAAUUAUUGCAUGAUAAUUGAUUGAAAGAUGCAAGCGCAUCACUAGUAGAUGGACCUGCGUUGUAUUAGCUAGUUGGUAAGGUAAGAGCUUACCAAGGCGACGAUACAUAGCCGACCUGAGAGGGUGAUCGGCCACACUGGGACUGAGACACGGCCCAGACUCCUACGGGAGGCAGCAGUAGGGAAUCUUCGGCAAUGGACGAAAGUCUGACCGAGCAACGCCGCGGGAGUGAAGAAGGGUUUCGGAUCGUAAAGCUCGGUUGUAAGUCAAGAACGUGUGUGAGAGUGGAAAGUUCACACAGUGACGGUAGCUUACCAGAAAGGGACGGCUAACUACGUG